GGAUGUGAGGGAAAUCUGGGUGUGACAUCUGUCACCUCAAUGAUUUCCAGGGUUGAUUUGGCUGAUCUGUCUGGCUAGGCAGGUAUCCCUUUGCUCCCUCAUUGCUCCAUGUGCGUCCCUCCCAAAGCUACACACUCAAUCGAAGAGGACGGCCUUCCCCGAAUAGACUCCCCAACUAGAACCUCCAAACAAGCUCUCAAGGUCCAUUUGUAGGAGAAAGUAGGGUAGUCAAGCUUCCAAGACUCCACACACACCCAAAUAAUGUGCUGCAUGUGGCAGUCUGCCUAUCU
ensembl:misc_RNA 7SK 7SK RNA